UGUUCUGUGGCGAGGUUAGCUAACGCGCUCUGUCCAGUGACUUUGUGAGACGUGGGUUCAAAUCCCACCAGAACUG
rfam:Aedes albopictus isolate Foshan contig34211, whole genome shotgun sequence.